GGGAAAUUAUCCAGAGUAUCGUAUUUAUUUUUUUACCACUAGGAGAAAGAGUGCAUCUGACUAACCGGUCUAAUACUACUAACCUUUAGGCACAAAGAAUGUCUUUCGAUGUGAGUGAUAAAUAGAGAAGACUGCAACCGUAGUCUCCUUCUAACCUUGGUAAGGAUGAUCUACUGUUCUAAUGGGGAGGCUAACGGAAUCUAGACACCACAAAGGAUGUUCAACCCGCACCUAUAAACCCUAUCCUUCCUGCUAA
rnacentral:lncRNA from 1 species